CCACAAUCUGCAGAAUAGCAUAAUGUCAUCAUCAGGUGCUCAGCAUUGACUCUGACCUGUAGUACCCCCGGUCCUGCAGCUGACAGCUCAGCUGAACCCCCCCUCCCCCUCAUCACUUUAUUACCAUUUCAGCUUUUUGGCCUCAUUUGAUUGGCCCUGGCUUCAGCCUCCUCUGAUUGGUCCUGGCUUCUCUGACUUAGCAGCCCAGCCCAGCAAAUCAAUAGACUGCACUCAAGAGCAUAAAGAUGAAUUGUCAAAGCCCAGGCCCCUGCAAGGGGAGAAAAAAAAAAUAACAUAGAGACUGCAUCUGGAAGGACAACUAAGAAAGCCUUUUCUGUUCUGACAGAAGCCUUCUGGACUCGCUAUAUGUUCUGCAUGAUUGCAGCCAGAAAUUCAGUUGGCUGGCUCCAUGGAAGGUGCUCUUCCUGCUUCCUGGUCUCAGGCAGCUGCUGUGUGGUAGCUCUCUGCAUUCUCCUCCCUGUGUCUAAUGGCUGUUUUAAAGACCUAUCCAUCUGGAGGCUCCUUCAAGUCCUGCCAGAUGAGAUCUCGUUUAGAGUACACAAAACUUCCCUGGAGGACUUUCCAUUUAAAGAAAGAAGCAAAUCAGCAGCAUUCUGGUACAAGACUGUAGAAGAUGCAAAACACGAAAUUCAUUUUCAUUGUGAGAGAUGUAUGUCAUUCAUUUGCUUCCCAGUUUUCAGCUCAAGCUCAGCAAUGAGGCUCUGCCAAGAACUGGGAACUGGCUUCCAAGAACAUCAGGGAAACAACA
rnacentral:lncRNA from 1 species